GUCCAGGGGCUGGUAAAUGGCUGACCUGACGGGAUUCCUGGCACUUGUUCAGAUACUUGUUCCUGAAGUAGGUCUCGCAGGUCUCCACACAGCAGAGGACCUUAAACCCUGUCCAGCCCAACGUGCUCUAGUCCUUGACCGCGUCAGGUAGGCUUCAUGCCCAGUGUGGAGCCCAACGUGGGGCUUAAACUCACAACCCUGAGAUCAAGACCUUGGGCUGAGAUCAAGAGUUGAACACUUAACCAACUGAGCCACGAGGUAGCAGGAAUUGGAUUUGCCUUGCCUCCUGAAAAUAAGAGGAAAUUCAGACAAAAUAUAAGAAACAAUAUCCGUCAAAAUGUUGGCUAUCAGGCAAUCUAGGACAGUGAUGGAAAACAAAUGAGAUGAGCUAUGAUUGCCCCAGAUUACUGCCUGGAGGGCAUUUCCAGGCCACAGCAAAGGAACAGUGACCCACGUAGAGCUCAGCAGUCACCUGAGUUGAGAAGAUGGAUCUGGGAGCCCAAGGAAGCCAAAGUAGCCAGAGUUCCCAGGGAAGGGUACUAGAGAGGAGGGAGCCACACGGGUAAAGUCACAUUUCCCUCUAGUAAUCAGUUGCAUACUGAUCAGCACAUGUGGCCAGGAAAGAAGCCCUAAAGACUAGAAAGAACAGUACCUGGAGCUCUACAGGGCUCAGAAUUGUGCCUGUGCCCAAAACCAAAAUCUGACAUUCGUUCCUAAUGAAAACUCUGGAUAAAUUAGAAAUAGAAGGGAACUUCUCAUCCUGAUUAAGGACAUCUAUAAAAAAAUGCACGCUUACCUUCAUGAUAAAAGACGGAAUGCUUUCCCUCCUAAGAUCAGGGACUGGACAAAGCUGUCCACUCUCACCGUUUUUUUCAACAUUGUACUAGAGUUUGUAGCUAGUGUAGUCAGGCACGAAAAAGAAAUAAAAACAUCCAGACGGGAAAGGAAGAGUCCGGUUGGCUGCAGCUGGACCACAGGCUUUUCUGGGCCUCUUGGGAGAAUGGCGGUAUGUGUGUGUGCAUGCGUGUGCAUGUGCACACAUGUGUGGGCAGUGUUGUGUUGGCGUAUGUGGCACCUUGCUUCUCUGAAAUGUCCCUCAACAUUGGGGAAUGGAGGGACGCCUGCGUGGCUCAGUCAGUUAAGCUUCUGCCUUUUGCUCCAGUCCUGAUCACAGGGUCCUGGGAUCGAGCCCCGCAUCAGGCUCCUGGGAGACUUUCUCCCUCUGCUCCUCCCCCUGCUCGUGCUCUCUCUCUCUCUGACAGAUAAAUAAAAUCUUUUUUUUAAGAUUAUUUAUUUGACAGAGAGAGACACAGCGAGAGAGGGAACACAAGCAGGGGGCGUGGGAGCAGGAGAAGCAGGCUUCCCGCGGAGCAGGGAGCCCGAUGCGGGGCUUGAUCCCAGGACCCUGGGAUCAUGACCUGAGCCGAAGGCAGACGCUUAAUGACUGAGCCACCCAGGCGCCCCAAAUAAAUAAAAUCUUAAAAACAAAAACAACAACAACAAAACCCCAUUGGGGAAUGGAAAAAUGUACCUCCAAGAUUUGGCAGACAUGACCCAUGCAACCCUUCCAGUUUCUCUUAGGUGUCAGAUUUUUUCUUAAAAUUUGCCCAGCCAAACAUUACAGUGGAGGCAAGGAGGGUCACGUUGAUCUGAAUUCAAGGACUGGCCACCUGGAUGGGGCAAGUACCUUAUCGUGAGACAUGAGGUUGCAGGAGAAGGAGCAGACGAUUCAGGGCGUGUGCACGUGGGUGACAUGCAGGACACUGGGCACGUGACCUCAUUUCUCCAGGCCUUGCUUUCCUGCCCUUUACAAUGCGGAGAAGACUCUCUUCAUGGCCUCCAGCUCAGGAUCGGUGAGCUAUUGAUAACAGGAGAAAAUGCUCUGAGGGGCCACUUUCUUCUUGCCAAGUGGUCAACCGCGAGUCCUUGACCGGCCCCCCUGUGUUCUCUUCCUUGCAGGUGGAGAGGGCUGCUCUGAGGGAGGCCCCUGCCUCCUACCUGCCCCAGCACUGGAGGCCUUGAGGACACCGGGGCCCAGGCUGUCUGUCAGGUCUUUGGAGAUGCUCCAGUGAUCUCCUGGAUAUUUACGGAUGGGGAGGUUUGAGGAACAAUCUGAGAAACACCUGUGUGGACUGCAAAGACUGAGGACUCCCAGGAGAGAGGCAUCAAGAGUUGGGCAUUCUGGGAAAGUUUCCUGGAAGGGGGAAACUUGGAGUUUUGGUCAAAAGAAAGAUGUGUAUACGACGUGACCCCCUCCUACAUCAAGAUGUAGAACUAACUUAAAAAUGUUCCUGUGCAUGGGCAUCCCCUUCGGAGCUUGUAAAAGAUGCAGCUUCUGACCUAACCCAGAGAUGCUGAUUCAGUGGCCCAGGAGGGCAGGGUGACUGCGCCGGAUCUUCAGAAGGGGCCAUGAAGAUGGAAGUGUCCAGGGCCCACAGAAGUCACAGCGCAGCCCUGCACACAGUCCUGGGCUCUGGAAGGCAGGCUCUGGCUACUGCGUCCCUCAGCCCCUUCCCUGACAGAGCACGGCUGGUGCUCGUGGGGACGGAGGCCAGAAAUGUUUAUCAUACACCUGCUGGGCGCCUAGCCCCGGGGAGGAAACAAGAGCAUCAGGCGUGUCUUGGUUGGCCUAGGAAGAGAAGACGUACAUACGGGAAACCAAGGACAAGACAGGACGCACUCUCCAGUGGUGGUCAAGUCUUACUUGGAUCUCUUCUUGUGUUUAUCAUUUUUUCUGUCACUGGGUCCGGCCCUCUUUGGAUAGAGUUGUUUCAUGUAUUUAAUUCUUUCUUUUUUUUUUUUUUUUAAGAUUUUAUUUGACACACAGAGAGAGAGAGAGAGACAGUGAAAGAGGCAACACAAGCAGGGGGAGUGGGAGAGAGAUAAGCAGGCUUCCCGCCGAGCAGGGAGCCCGAUGCGGGGCUCGAUCCCAGGACCCUGGGACCAUGACCUGAGUCGAAGGCAGAUGCUUAACCCACUGAGCCACUCAGGUGCCCCACAUGUAUUUAAUUCUUCAACCACUAUUCUUUUGUUGAUUUAUUCCUUUCUUCAACCAAUGUUUACUAUAUUCGUAAUUCAGGUUUUUAAGAAAGAUUAUUUAUUUUAGAGAAAGAGCAG